rnacentral:lncRNA from 1 species
UGGGAUUUAGUUUGUUCCUGUUUUAGAUCAACUUUGACAUGCUUUUUGGAUGUUUAUGUUAGUUUGCUGGGUAAAGCUUUAAUCUGAGUGAUUUAUUUGGUUGUUUUGCAGUUUCUUAAGAGCUUUUGGAAAGUGCUUUUAAAAUAAGCUGCUUUUGUUCUCUGCAUAUUACAACUUUGGAAGUGACUUGAUGAAGGUGGCUUGUAAGAAAUGCCAAACUUGGAGGCGCCAGCUUUUGGUCACCAACAACACCUUUUUUN